UAACUUGACUGGAUUGGGGACAUUCAUACUUUCCUUGCUGACUCCAGCAAUGCUGAUGGUUUCAUCGAUCGUCAUGAGCUGAAUGUUGUCAUCAAUGCUAUUGGGAAACAUUUUGCAGAGGAGGAAAUUCAUGAAUUCAUGAAACAAUCGGACAAGAACAAUGAUGGGAAACUUGAUGUUUGUUAAUGGGUGAAGAUGAUGGAGAAGACCCAAUAAGUAACCAGCGUCCCUCAGCAAUCCAUUAUGAUUCAACAAGUUAAUGAAUUCCUGGCUGCUACAGUUUUUUACUUUGUGAGGAAGACGUAACUCCUAUGAACGAAAUGCUUUGUCAUUUUUUUACCGGCACGGAACACUGCACAGUUUAUUUGCAACCCUUUCCUAAUAAACCUAAUCUCAAUGUUUUUCCAA